rnacentral:lncRNA from 1 species
GCAGUGCGCGCUGAAGAGGCGCGCUGAUGACGGUUAAUGUUGCAGCCCGGAAGAUGACUUUUGUCUCCUCCUUGGGUUGCGGCAGGCGUUAGUGGGAGGUCGCGGCCCGCUGCUGUGAGCCCCAAGGCAGAGAGACGUCGCUGCGGUUUUGGGGUUGGCAUCCUGUCCUCUGUGCGCCCCUUUUUCCUGGGAUGAGCGGUUAGCGGAGGGGCGAUCGGCCCAUGACGCCCUCUGGUGGCGGAGGAGGCCAAACGCUGGAGGCUCGGCUGGUUUCUGGGCUCCCAGGUCCUGGAGGGGGUGCAGCUGGCGAGAGGGAACGAACUGCAUGGGCCAGGGUGGGUCUACUGCAGGGACAGAUAGGUGUCAAACCCCCCAAGACGGAUUUUAAUCUUUGGUUAAGUGAGAACGUGAACUCUAGAGGCAGCCUGCUGGGUUUGAAUCCUACCCACGUCACUUUGUAACUGUGAUCUUGGGCAAGUUACUCGACCUCUCUCUGCCUCAGUUUCAUCAAAUACAAAACAAGGAUAAUAACUGCACUUGGGCAGGGCACGGUGGCUCACGUCUAUAGUACCAGCACUUUGGGAGGCUGAGGCGGGCGGAUCACCUGAGGUCAGGAGUUGGAGACCAGCCUGGCCAACAUGGUGAAACCCUGUCCCUACUAAAAAUACAAAAAUUAACCAGGUGUGGUGGCACGCGCCUGCAAUCCCAGCUACUUGGGAGGCUGAGGCAGGAGAAUUGCUUGAGCCCGGGAGGCGGAGCUUGUGGUGAGCCGAGAUUGUGCCACCGUACUCCAGCCUGGGCAACAGAGCAAGACUCCAUCUUAAAAAAAAAAAAACAAAAAACAAAAAACCUGGACUAACUUCAGAACUACAGUAAGGAUAAAACGAGUUAAUACAUGUAAAGUGCUCAGACAUAACUAUUUAAGCCAGGGAGUGAUGCUCUCAGAUGUGUUGAGAAAGUAACAAUCUGGCUGCUGUGUGGGGAAGAACACAAAUGUUCCCCUGCCUGCCUCAUGCCACGUCCCUUUCUUCCUUUCCUUAUAUCUCUUCAAACCAUAGAACUUUUUUUUGUUUGAUUUUUGAGACGGAGUUUCGCUCUUGUUGCCCAGGCUGGAGUGCAAUGGCACGAUCUCAGGCUCACCGCAACCUCCACCUUCCGGGUUCAAGCGAUUCUCUUGCCUCAGCCUCCCGAGUAGUUGGGAUUACAGGCAUGCGCCACCACGUCCGGCUGAUUUUGGAUUUUUAGUAGAGACAGGGUUUCUCCAUGUUGGUCAGGCUGGUCUGGAACUCCCGACCUCAGGUGAUCCACCUGCCCGCGAGCCACCGCCCGGCCCAGAAUUCUUGCUUAGGAGGGAGUGCCCCAGGCUCUAGCAGAGUUUAUCUAAUUGGCCUAUCAGGCCCUGCAUAAUCCUGCCUCUUUCCAAUGGAACCCUUCACCUUGGGUCCCACCCUUAAGCCUUUUAUUUACUGCUAAUCAUUGAAUGUUCUACACAUGGGUAGGUCCCUUUGGUCUCAACCAGAAACACUUUCCUCAGGCCAUUUCUAAAAUAGUUUCCACCAUUAUUUCAGGAGUAUCCUGUUAGUUUCUUAGCACCCACCAUUUGCUUACUUGAUUUUUUUUUCUUUUUUGGUGAUACCCCACAGCACUGAACAAUAAGGGUAAGUAAGGGCCAUGUCUCUUUACUUUCAUUUCUCUGGCACAUAAUAUGUGGCCUGGCCCAUAGUAUUAAUAGAUACUGAAUGUAUUCACUGAAUAAAAAUGAUGCCUUAUAUUAUUGCUAAAUGUACUUCUAAAUGUACUUUUCUCCCUUAAUUGUAAAUUCCUAGAGGACAGAAUCCAUUAAAUAUUAGUUUUUGUUUUUGUUUUUCUUUGAGACAGAGUCUCGCUCGGUUGCCCAGGCUGGAGUGCAGUGGUGCGAUCUUGUCCCACUGCAACCUCCACCUCCCAGGUUCAAGCGAUUCUCCUGCCUCAGCCUCCCAAGUAGCUGGGAUUAUAGGUGCUCACCACCAUGCCUGGCUAAUUUUUAUAUUUUUAGUAGUGACAGGGUUUCACCAUGUUGGUCAGACUGGUCUUGAACUCCUGACCUCAAGUGAUCUGCCCACCUCGGCUUCCCAAAGUCCUGAGAUUACAGGCGUGAUUGACCGCACCCGGCCCAAAUAUUAAUUUUGAAGCUUUCUUACAUCCUAGGACAUUGCCAGAAUAGCUGCUGGCUCUCUUGAGUUGGAGUCAUCGUUCAUGGAUGCAUCCCCAGUGCCUGUGUGCUCAGUGGCACAUGAAAGGCACUGAAUAAGCAUUUGCUGAAUGAAUUAAUGAACACUUGAUUACCUGGGCCCAUCCAACUUUUCCCUUCAUCCUUCCAACAUAAACUUUUUCUGUCUGUGUAACAUUUGGUGGAAAACUUCCUGAAUCCCUUAGUACUAAAUGGAACACCCAGUCCAUUCAGUGUUGACAAUAAAACAAGUUAACACCCAUUGUGGAGGAGUGAUUGGGCCAGAGUCUUGUUCCUUAGUAAGUUCAUAUCUCACCACAAUGCAGAGCUCAAGAGAGGGCUGCUUUUCUCUCUACUCCAAAGGUGAACACAGACCCUUCCUCAUUAUCCCACAUCACUACUGAGACCAGAAUAACAUGUUGAAUGAAACCUGCUCGAAGGUUUGUGAGUAAGGAAAUAAUAUAAGGAGAAUAACUUAAAACAGGCCACUGGGUUUAGCUGCUUUCAGAGCCCAGAGGCCUCAACAUAUCCUCGGCCCAUGCUUUUUCACCAUCAAAACAACACACUUAGGCUCUUCAAAGUCCAACUCCCAGGGAACCCCACCUGGCAGAAGGAAGAUAUUUCAUUUCCUUUUAAAGCUCACAUUUCAAUAUCCCACCCUGCCCUAAAAUAUGCCUCUUUUUUGGGUGACUGACACUGGGAAUGUCUUCUCCCUUCUAAGGAUAUACACUCCAAAUUAAGGAGAAUGGCCUUUAUCCUCCAGUGUAUACUGAAGCUUGAAAUGUACUUGGCAUACAGUAGGCCUUGGAAGAAUUGACUGAGUCCCUCGAAUCACUUUGCUUCCCUGGUGCAGACGUUAAGACAAGUUACAUUAACAUCUUUUGUUCUAUGAUGGAAAUUAGCAAUGUAUGUUCCUCUUGGCUUUGACCCUUCCUUCUGCAUCUUCCUUUGCCUUAAUUUUUAAAGUGCAGCAGCAUGAGCACUUUAAAGUUUGGUGGCAUAGAAUUUUACUGGCUAUGUGAACAUUUAGUAAUUAAUCACUAGAACAAAGGAGAAACCCAAAUAUUUCGAUUUUGUUCAUCCACAACAUGUAGUAACAAUCAACUGGAACUACCUGGAAAUAUACGGGAACAGAAUGCUUUUGCAGGGUGCUUAAAAACACGAUAUAUGGGAUCUAUGGGAUCAGGCAGACCUGGGUUAGAAUCCUGACUCUGCCAUUUCUUUGCUUCAGUUCUUCAGAUUUGGACUCUUGAGCAAGGCACUUAACCACAGUGAGCCUCAUUUCCCCAUCUAAGACAUGAAGAUCAUGAUAGUAUCACUUUAUAAGGAUUGUUUAUAAGAGGGUUAAAGCACAGAUAACACAUGUAAAGACUGGUACUUAGCAAGCAUUUGGUAAAUAUUAGCUGCUAUUAUAUCACCCCAUAGGCUGAAAUGCUGCAUAUCACACUACAUGGGCAUUUUCAAGCAAUCUAAGAGGCACCCAGGAGUUGUCCAUUCAUCUUUAUUCCUUUAUUUAAUCCUCCCCAUGUAUUAUAUAAGCUUAGGUAUAUAACUUCUAUUACAUAAAGAAGUAG